GACAGUUUUUUUAAAAAAAGAAAUGGAGAAAGAAAGAGAGAAAGAAAAAGAGAGAAAAAAGAAAUUCUGACACAUUCUGCAUUGCAAGCACUCCAUAAA